AGUUUGAUCCUGGCUCAGAUUGAACGCUGGCGGCAGGCCUAACACAUGCAAGUCGAACGGUAACAGGAAGCAGCUUGCUGCUUCGCUGACGAGUGGCGGACGGGUGAGUAAUGUCUGGGAAACUGCCUGAUGGAGGGGGUAUACCUCGGGAACCGGUUGCUUAACCCCGGAUAACCUCGCAAAACCAAAAGGAGGGACCUUUGGGCCUCUCUCCCUUUGGGAUGCCCCCAGAGUGGUAUUACUUAGUAGGUGGGGGAACCGGUUCACCUGGGGGGAGAACCCUAGCGGUGUUGGGAGGGAUGCCCAGCCCACCGGGAAUUGGAACCCGGUCCAGACUCCUACGGGAGGCACCAGUGGGGAAUAUUGCACAAUGGGCGCAAGCCUGAUGCACCCAUCCCGCGUGUAUGAAGAAGGCCUUCGGGUUGUAAAGUACUUUCAGCGGGGAGGAAGGGAGUAAAGUUAAUACCUUUGCUCAUUGACGUUACCCGCAGAAGAAGCACCGGCUAACUCCGUGCCAGCAGCCGCGGUAAUACGGAGGGUGCAAGCGUUAAUCGGAAUUACUGGGCGUAAAGCGCACGCAGGCGGUUUGUUAAGUCAGAUGUGAAAUCCCCGGGCUCAACCUGGGAACUGCAUCUGAUACUGGCAAGCUUGAGUCUCGUAGAGGGGGGUAGAAUUCCAGGUGUAGCGGUGAAAUGCGUAGAGAUCUGGAGGAAUACCGGUGGCGAAGGCGGCCCCCUGGACGAAGACUGACGCUCAGGUGCGAAAGCGUGGGGAGCAAACAGGAUUAGAUACCCUGGUAGUCCACGCCGUAAACGAUGUCGACUUGGAGGUUGUGCCCUUGAGGCGUGGCUUCCGGAGCUAACGCGUUAAGUCGACCGCCUGGGGAGUACGGCCGCAAGGUUAAAACUCAAAUGAAUUGACGGGGGCCCGCACAAGCGGUGGAGCAUGUGGUUUAAUUCGAUGCAACGCGAAGAACCUUACCUGGUCUUGACAUCCACAGAACUUUCCAGAGAUGGAUUGGUGCCUUCGGGAACUGUGAGACAGGUGCUGCAUGGCUGUCGUCAGCUCGUGUUGUGAAAUGUUGGGUUAAGUCCCGCAACGAGCGCAACCCUUAUCCUUUGUUGCCAGCGGUCCGGCCGGGAACUCAAAGGAGACUGCCAGUGAUAAACUGGAGGAAGGUGGGGAUGACGUCAAGUCAUCAUGGCCCUUACGACCAGGGCUACACACGUGCUACAAUGGCGCAUACAAAGAGAAGCGACCUCGCGAGAGCAAGCGGACCUCAUAAAGUGCGUCGUAGUCCGGAUUGGAGUCUGCAACUCGACUCCAUGAAGUCGGAAUCGCUAGUAAUCGUGGAUCAGAAUGCCACGGUGAAUACGUUCCCGGGCCUUGCACACACCGCCCGUC
rnacentral:rRNA from 1 species